GGAUGAGUGGCGAACGGGUGAGUAACACGUGGGGAAUCUGCCUAGGAGUGGGGGAUAACAUUCGGAAACGGAUGCUAAUACCGCAUAUCUUCUUAGACCGCAUGGUCUAUGAAUGAAAGACGGCUUUGCUGUCGCUCUUAGAUGAUCCCGCGGCGUAUUAGUUAGUUGGUGGGGUAAAGGCCUACCAAGACCAUGAUACGUAGCCGACCUGAGAGGGUGAUCGGCCACACUGGGACUGAGACACGGCCCAGACUCCUACGGGAGGCAGCAGUAGGGAAUCUUCCACAAUGGGUGAAAACCUGAUGGAGCAAUGCCGCGUGAAUGAAGAAGGUCUUCGGAUCGUAAAGUUCUGUUAUUAGAGAAGAACAAGUCAAGGAGUAACUGUCUUGACUUUGACGGUACCUAACCAGAAAGUCACGGCUAACUACGUGCCAGCAGCCGCGGUAAUACGUAGGUGACAAGCGUUGUCCGGAAUUAUUGGGCGUAAAGGGAGCGCAGGCGGUUGGAAUAGUCUGAUGUGAAAGCCCACGGCUUAACCGUGGAAGGUCAUUGGAAACUGUCCAACUUGAAUACAGAAGAGGUAAGUGGAAUUCCAAGUGUAGCGGUGAAAUGCGUAGAUAUAUGGAGGAACACCAGUGGCGAAGGCGACUUACUGGUCUGUGAUUGACGCUGAGGCUCGAAAGCGUGGGUAGCGAACAGGAUUAGAUACCCUGGUAGUCCACGCCGUAAACGAUGAGUGCUAAGUGUUGGAGGGUUUCCGCCCUUCAGUGCUGGAGUUAACGCAUANAGCACUCCG
rnacentral:rRNA from 1 species